CAUGUCUUUUUGGAUGAUAAUUUAAAGUCUGACCUGCCCUCUGAUUUAAAUAUUGAAUGGCCGCGAUAAUUUGAUCGUGCAAAGGUAGCAUAAUCAUUAGUUUUUUAAUUGAGAACUGGAAUGAAAGGUUGAACGAGAAAAGUACUGUCUCAAUUUAAUUUUAAUUAGAAUUUUAUUUUUAAGUAAAAAAGCUUAAAUAAUUUUAAAAGACGAGAAGACCCUAUAGAGUUUUAUAUUUAAUUAUUAUUUUUUAGUUUAAGAAUUUUAUUUUUAAAUUAUUAAUUAAAUAUUUAGUUGGGGUGAUUGAAAAAUUUAAUAAACUUUUUUUAAAAAUUAAACAUUAAUAUAUGAUUAAUUGAUCCAUAUUUUAUGAUUAUAAGAUUUAAUUACCUUAGGGAUAACAGCGUAAUUUUUUUUGAGAGUUCAUAUCGAAAAAAAAGUUUGCGACC
rnacentral:rRNA from 1 species